rnacentral:rRNA from 1 species
GAUGAACGCUGGCGGCGUGCCUAAUACAUGCAAGUCGAGCGAACAGAUGAGGAGCUUGCUCCUCUGACGUUAGCGGCGGACGGGUGAGUAACACGUGUAUAACCUACCUAUAAGACUGGGAUAACUUCGGGAAACCGGAGCUAAUCCCGUAUAAUCUCUUGAACCGCAUGGUUCAAUAGUGAAAGACGGUUUUGCUGUCACUUAUCGAUGGAUCCGCGCCGCAUUAGCUAGUUGGUAAGGUAACGGCUUACCAAGGCGACGAUGCGUAGCCGACCUGAGAGGGUGAUAGGCCACACGGGAACUGAGACACGGUCAAGACUCCUAAGGGAGGCAGCAGUAGGGAAUCUUACGCAAUGGGCGAAAGCAUGACGGAGCAACGCCGCGUGAGUGAUGAAGGUCUUCGGAUCGUAAAAAUCUGUUAUUAGGGAAGAACAAAUGUGUAAGUAAAUAUGCACGUAUUGACGGUACCUAAUCAGAAAGCAACGGCUAACUACGUG